UUAAACAUGAGAGUUUGAUCCUGGCUCAGGAUGAACGCUGGCGGCGUGCCUAACACAUGCAAGUCGAGCGAAGCAUUUUAAAGGAAGUUUUCGGAUGGAAUUUGAAAUGACUGAGCGGCGGA
rnacentral:rRNA from 1 species